AUUGAACGCUGGCGGCAGGCCUAACACAUGCAAGUCGAACGGUAACAGAAAGCAGCUUGCUGCUUUGCUGACGAGUGGCGGACGGGUGAGUAAUGUCUGGGAAACUGCCUGAUGGAGGGGGAUAACUACUGGAAACGGUAGCUAAUACCGCAUAACGUCGCAAGACCAAAGAGGGGGACCUUCGGGCCUCUUGCCAUCGGAUGUGCCCAGAUGGGAUUAGCUAGUAGGUGGGGUAACGGCUCACCUAGGCGACGAUCCCUAGCUGGUCUGAGAGGAUGACCAGCCACACUGGAACUGAGACACGGUCCAGACUCCUACGGGAGGCAGCAGUGGGGAAUAUUGCACAAUGGGCGCAAGCCUGAUGCAGCCAUGCCGCGGGUAUGAAGAAGGCCUUCGGGUUGUAAAGUACUUUCAGCGGGGAGGAAGGGAGUAAAGUUAAUACCUUUGCUCAUUGACGUUACCCGCAGAAGAAGCACCGGCUAACUCCGUG
rnacentral:rRNA from 1 species